rnacentral:rRNA from 1 species
AUGGUUGCCCUCUCAAGCUCUAUUGUGCGCCAUGCAGUGGCACCACUGUUACAGAGCUACCUAGACUGCAGUGCGGUGGUUUGUCUCUGCUCUGUACCCUGCUGUUUGUCUCUACUUGGUACCCUUGGUGGAGAAGAGGUGUCGCCGACGGCGGCCCAGGAGUUGGUCGCUCGCCACUGGACGUUGCACAGCGGCAUCACCGCACAGCCGGCAAGGUGGGCUCAAGGAAGAGCGGUGUGGACGGAGAGGAGCUACCGAAGACGCGAUGUGCGGAUGGAGGGGAGCCGCCGGAGAUGUGCAGUGUUGGACACGAUGCCGCAGCCGAAACCCUAG